rnacentral:rRNA from 5 species
AACGACUCUCGGCAACGGAUAUCUCGGCUCUCGCAUCGAUGAAGAACGUAGCGAAAUGCGAUACUUGGUGUGAAUUGCAGAAUCCCGUGAACCAUCGAGUCUUUGAACGCAAGUUGCGCCCGAAGCCACUAGGUUGAGGGCACGUCUGCCUGGGCGUCACGCA